UUUGCACAACGCGGGAGCUCGGAGCACCGGGCUGAGAGGGCGCUGGAUCGCGAAACGCGACGGCUGCGCCGACCGCCGAACCUGUUACCGGGUAAUGCCGGCGUAGGGAGUAGGUCUGAUGACCAU
rnacentral:ncRNA from 1 species